ensembl:lincRNA
GACAGUAUUCUCAGUUCUUUAUGACCUCUACCACAAAAAGAGUCUCUGGAAUCCAUAUGGACAGUCUUGCAGAUCUGCUGCCUUGAGAGGAGCAGUAAUUUUGGUUGGGAAUGCAGCCUUCCAAGUAGAUUGGCCAAAGGAGAAGAGAAAGGCAACUGAUUGAGAGGACUAAAAAACUUAUGAAGAAGCGGGUAUACUUCAGCCAGCAUGUCAAUUUCAUCCAUUUUUGUUUACGUUUUUAAAGCCAUCACAUACAUUUUGGAAGGUACAUGUUGUUGCAAAUGCUGCCACAUGUUCCCAGCAAUUUGGAGAGGCCUGUCUUCAUCCUGAGGAAUGCUGAACACAGGUUGUCUCAAAAAUCACAAAUAAUA